rnacentral:rRNA from 1 species
UACGUAGGGUGCGAGCGUUGUCCGGAAUUAUUGGGCGUAAAGAGCUUGUAGGCGGUUUGUCGCGUCUGCCGUGAAAAUUCGAGGCUCAACCUCGAACUUGCGGUGGGUACGGGCAGACUAGAGUGUGGUAGGGGAGACUGGAAUUCCUGGUGUAGCGGUGAAAUGCGCAGAUAUCAGGAGGAACACCAAUGGCGAAGGCAGCACUCUGGGACGUGACUGACGCUGAGACGCGAAAGCGUGGGGAGCAAACAGG